rnacentral:rRNA from 1 species
CAGAGACCUCAAGCGUUAUCCGGAAUCAGUUGGGCGUAAAGCGUACCGAUAGGUGGUUAAGAAAGUCAGAUGUGAAAUUCCAAGGCUCAACCUUGGGACUGUCAUUUGAAACUUCUUGACUAGGAGGGCAAAGAGGAAGCUGGAACGAACGGUGUAGUAGUGAAAUGCGUUGAUAUCGUUCGGAACACCAAUAGCGAAGGCAGGCUUCUGGGUGCCACCUGACACUGCUAGGACGAAAGCGUGGGGAGCGAAGGGGUUAGAUACCCCCGUAGUCCACGCUGUAAACGAUGUAUGUUAGGUGCUGGGGAGUAUCGACCCUCUUCAGUACCACAGCUAACGCGUUAAACAUACCGCCUGGGGAGUACGGCCGCAAGGCUA